GGAAUAUUGCGCAAUGGACGAAAGUCUGACGCAGCGACGCCGCGUGGAGGAUGAAGGUUUUCGGAUCGUAAACUCCUGUUAAGUGGGAAGAAAACUCUAUCUCUAAUAUAGGUAGAGUCUGACGGUACCACUAGAGAAAGCACCGGCUAACUUCGUGCCAGCAGCCGCGGUAAUACGAGGGGUGCAAACGUUAUUCGGAUUAACUGGGCGUAAAGGGUGUGUAGACGGUAUAUUAAGUUCGUUGUUAAAUCUUCUGGCCUAACCGGAAGCUUGCGAUGGAAACUGAUAUACUUGAGGAUGGAAGAGAGAAGUGGAAUUCUCGGAGUAGCGGUAAAAUGCGUAGAUCUCGAGAGGAACACCGAUGGCGAAGGCAGCUUCUUGGUCCACUCCUGACGUUGAGACACGAAAGCGUGGGUAGCAAAC
rnacentral:rRNA from 1 species